GGGAAACGGAUGGAGGGGCCUGCCACAGGCCCCGUAUCAAACUUUUGGGGCC
rfam:Fukomys damarensis contig155018, whole genome shotgun sequence.